rnacentral:rRNA from 1 species
AAUAGAUACCCGGGUAGUCCACGCCGUAAACGAUGAGUGCUAAGUGUUAGGGGGUUUCCGCCCCUUAGUGCUGCAGCUAACGCAUUAAGCACUCCGCCUGGGGAGUACGGCCGCAAGGCUGAAACUCAAAGGAAUUGACGGGGGCCCGCACAAGCGGUGGAGCAUGUGGUUUAAUUCGAAGCAACGCGAAGAACCUUACCAGGUCUUGACAUCUCCUGACCGCCCUGGAGACAGGGUCUUCCCUUCGGGGACAGGAUGACAGGUGGUGCAUGGUUGUCGUCAGCUCGUGUCGUGAGAUGUUGGGUUAAGUCCCGCAACGAGCGCAACCCUUGUCCUUAGUUGCCAGCAUUCAGUUGGGCACUCUAAGGAGACUGCCGGCUAAAAGUCGGAGGAAGGUGGGGAUGACGUCAAAUCAUCAUGCCCCUUAUGACCUGGGCUACACACGUGCUACAAUGGGCGGUACAGAGGGUCGCGAACCCGCGAGGGGGGGCCAAUCCCAAAAAACCGCUCUCAGUUCGGAUUGCAGGCUGCAACUCGCCUGC